rnacentral:rRNA from 1 species
AUUGUACGCUGGCGGCAUGCCUUACACAUGCAAGUCGAACGGUAACAGGUCUUCGGAUGCUGACGAGUGGCGAACGGGUGAGUAAUACAUCGGAACGUGCCUAGUAGUGGGGGAUAACUACUCGAAAGAGUGGCUAAUACCGCAUACGAUCUGUGGAUGAAAGCGGGGGACCGUAUGGCCUCGCGCGAUUGGAGCGGCCGAUAUCAGAUUAGGUAGUUGGUGGGGUAAAGGCCUACCAAGCCGACGAUCUGUAGCUGGUCUGAGAGGACGACCAGCCACACUGGGACUGAGACACGGCCCAGACUCCUACGGGAGGCAGCAGUGGGGAAUUUUGGACAAUGGGCGCAAGCCUGAUCCAGCAAUGCCGCGUGCAGGAUGAGGGCCUUCGGGUUGUAAACUGCUUUUGUACGGAGCGAAAAGGCUCUCUCUAAUACAGGGGGCUCAUGACGGUACCGUAAGAAUAAGCACCGGCUAACUACGUGCCAGCAGCCGCCGCCG